rnacentral:misc_RNA from 1 species
GAUGAAGAACGUAGCGAAAUGCGAUAAGUAGUGUGAAUUGCAGAAUUCAGUGAAUCAUCGAAUCUUUGAACGCACAUUGCGCCCCUUGGUAUUCCAUGGGGCAUGCCUGUUCGAGCGUCAUUUGUACCAUCAAGCUUUGCUUGGUGUUGGGUGUUUGUCUCGCCUUUGCGUGUAGACUCGCCUUAAAAUAAUUGGCAGCCGGCGUAUUGAUUUCGGAGCGCAGUACAUCUCGCGCUUUGCACUCAUAACGACAGCGUCCAAAAGUACAUUUUACACUCUUGACCUCGGAUCAGGUAGGGAUACCCGCUGAACUUAAGCAUAUCAAUAAGCGGAGGA